GGAAAGUCAGCCUGUGUACCGGAAAGUCUCAGCAGAGGGUAGGCUCUGGAAAGAGCUAUUUAACCUGACGUAUGUCACCAAGUGACUCAGCCUCUCCUGAGUUCUGACUAGGCUGCAAAGACAGAUGUCUGGGGCUCUUUGGGUUCAUGGAUUAUUGACAAGUAACCCUCUUCCCCAUUUCCUUGGGGUGCUGAGUCCUGUGUUGAGCUAGCACUUUGGCCAAAGGAAGUUUGCAAGAGACUGGUAUUUCAUCAGCUCCUCGAGCAGAAUGACUCACCUGUUACUAAAUGGACACUCACAAAGCCAGGAAAGCUCCAGGAAGUCUGGGAUCUGCAGUUCAAGGCCACCACAUCACCGGCCCCCCGUGGGAGUGAGUGGGACCCAGGAGAUGGGUCUGAAGGAGGAAGAAGGGCAGCUGGAAGAGACAGAGCCCCUUUCCAACAGGGCCAGAGGGAGGUCACCUUGGAGACCCCUGGAUGGUACCAUUUGCCUUCUCACUUUUGAAAUGUGGAGCUCCAAGAUGAGAAAACUGAGACCUGUGUAGGUCAAUUGACUGACCCAAGAUUCCACAGUUUGUGGCUCACAUUGAAUUGCAGCUCCAGUCUUUUGACCAACAGGGAACUGGUGGUGAUUUUAAAGGAGAAAUAAGAUAUGGAGAAGAAGACUCCAUGGGUUGGAUGAGCCUAGCUAUCAUUCUAUUUUAAAAUGUAAAUGCUUACAUGGCAGCAAUCCCCCAUGCCUGGCUUUAGCUGUGAUUUAAUAAUGGCAUAGUAACAUGUGGAUUGGAUGAGAUUAAUCAGUUCCUUUUUUCUUUAAAGACUUGUUUUGCUAGCUGGCUUCUUACAUAAAAACGAAACCUAACUCAAACUUCUGGUUUUAAAUAAUUCAUUUGAUGACUCAGAUUUAACCAGGUUGUGAGCCUCUUUACAAUUUUCAAAACACUCCUUCAGGAACAAAAAUAACUGUUUUGUUGACUUUAAAAAUUUAGAGGAAUACAUGCUUUCAUCCAUUUCUUUUUUUCCCUCUUUAAGUUGGAAAACACCCUCAUUUGAUCAUCCUCCAAUCAACUAUAAUAUUUUAUAUCAUAGUUGUAUAAUAACUGUAGCAUUCAUCUACAGCCCCUCCCCCAAUUCAGUCAUUAUUUAGAUGUGAGUAAUAAUGCCCAGCAGCAUUAACAAACCAGGGAAAAAUUUAAAUUUUAAGUAUAGGAAAAUUUAAAGCUUGGAAUUAAUGUUAUUUCCAGUUUCUCUAGUGCCACUUCUCAAUAUUUUCUCUAAAGCAUUCUGAGGGCUUGAGCUAGCUACUGUCUUCUAAUAUUGUCCUAUGUGUUACAGUCACAAAAAUGAGCAAGAUGUGCUUCCUGCCAUAGCAAGUAUAUCCUAGAAGCAUAUAAAAAAGUAUGUUGGGAACCAGAAGGAGGAGCAAAUAAAUCAGACUGGGCAGGUGGGGCAUCAUAAGGCUUUUAACUGAAAUGAAUGCUUACAGAGGAAUUUUUAGGAGCUGAGGGGGAAGGAACUGAAAAAAUGCAGGACGAAAAAGAUCAGUGAGUUUGAAGUUUGGAGCUGCUUUGGAAACGAGUAUUCCAGGACAUCUGCAAAGAGGAGAGUUUGCUUAUGUGGGUGGGGUCAGAAUUGCAGAGGGCUUUGCAGGUUAAGACUUGGAGGUAGGGAAAUAGAGUGAAGGAUUUUAAGUGUAGGUGGCAGAGAAGCCAGGAGUGUGCAUUGAUAGAAGACGAAGUUAAAGAUAUGGCAAGGAAAGCAAAGCUCUGCGGUUGCUAUGGGAUAGGGUGGAAGUCUGGCGUAGUCAGAAUCUGAAGUUGAGGAGGUCAGGGGUAUUAAACACUCAGUGCCAGUGUCUAAGAUCAAUCAUCUAUCUUAAGACAUGGGUAUCAUUCACAGUGUUUUCAAGGAUGGAGGUACAGAAGAAAAUAGCUAUGAGAUAUCCAAAUCCUCAGCAGAUAUCAGGGAAAGUUAGAAGUUUGAUAGAAGAGACAGAUAAAGUAGAGAUGGGAAGUUCCAACACUGGGGCUUUUAUUUCAUGGUGGGAGGGCUGAGCUUUGGAGGAGAAUAGGAGGGAAACGGAAGUCUUCCUCCCAUAAGUCUUGUGCACUUGUAGGAGGUACGAGAAACUGAGUUGGCUUCUCUUCAGGGUGAGUUAUGCAGAGUUUAAAGGAAAAGAGUAUGAAUUUUUAAUCUAAAUUAUUCCGAAAUGAUUAGGUACGUGCUUGCUCAGAAAUGAUUACUAAAAAUUGCAUAAAGAGCUAUGACUGUUCUAUGGAGUAACUGAUCCUAAUUACUCAAUAUUUUUUACAUUUUCCCUGGGCUAUAGGGAUAUGAGUUGCUAUUUAUUGCUAUUUACAGCAAUUGUUCACAUGUUAGUGUCUCAAAUAUAAGCAUUUAGAGUUCAUUUCCCAUCAAUUUGCCUUUGAGUGAACUGUAGUUUUGCAUUUGUGAUUUCAUGAAUAUUUGCUCAUUUUACCAGAAUUUAAUGAGCACUACUGAGUGUUAGAUUCUGGAAGAAGAAAAGGGAGCGUGUUAGAAACAGUCUCUCUUUUCAUAGAGUUUAUGCCUGGGUAGGCGUGGUGUCUCAUUUUAAAAAUCUUACCUUAAACUUAUCUCUUUCCUUUAAGAACCAAAAAUGAGCAACUCUUUCUAGCAACACUGUAAUCUUCCAAGAUGCAUUUAUGGAAAAUUCUCCAUGAGGUGAGCAGGCCUCCUCCACCGAGUGCUCCUGCUAUGCUGUACUCUGCUGCCACAGGCGAAGCAAAAGGACCAAGUAUGCAUGGACUGAAACUAGGAGUUAAGAUGAGUCUUCCCUCCUGUUAAAUCGAUUAUCUCAGAUCCUCUUUUGUUGCCAGUUCAUGGAGCCCAGGUGGUUGCGCAUCAGAUUUUUCCAUCUUGUUUCCCUUUGGAGUUGCUGUAGGUGAUCUGGAAGUCUGUUUUUGAGGCUUGUUUAUGUGUCUUCUCAUUUCCCCAGGGGAUAAGGGUGUGUGCUGCUGGUGCCCGUGCUGCUCACCUCCUCUGCCCUAGGAGUGGUGGAAUGGCAGCGGGAAGCCUCCUCCUGGGCGCUGGGAUUGGCUCACCUCCUCUGCCCUGGGAAUGGUGGAAUGGUUAACUCAUUUCUAAUACUUUGAAAUAUUUGAUUUGAGAUGUUUGGCAUGAAAAGCCCAUUAAAUAAAUGUCAAAUUCCAUUUUAACAUAAACCAUACACUAAAGGGUUUGAUGCUCUUAAUUUUUCCUUGAUUAACUCUGUGUUUUCCCAGGCUCGAAAUAUGACUCUCUAUGGAAGAUUCAAGUUACUUAGGGCUGGGACCCUUGUGUGUGACCAUGGUGGGUUUCCUGUUGAACUUGUGAUGCUACAGCCUUUAAAACUUACAAAGGGUAGUUCUCUUCAGUUCUGUAGGCCCCAUAUCUGGCUUUGAGUUGUGUAUGUACUCCGUAAUUGUUCUCUUUAUUCACAGAAAUUUGCAGACCUCUUCUUGAUUGAUCACUUCAUAGAACGUCAUACUUUUUGACUUGUAAGAUUUGUAAAUAUAUUUUCUGUUGAUUUUUAAAGACUGUCAUAUUAUCUCAAAACAACUGAUAGAAUCUCACUAUAUUUAAAAUUACAUUUUCUAUUAAAAGGUAUGGGUCUUUUUUUGAAUGUGAUUCUGCAUGUUUUCAUAGUCUUAAGAUGUUACAGCUUUGAUGAAUAUUAAAAAUGAUAUCCAGUUAAAUUUUGAAUACCUCACUCAGCUUUUUCUGACUUGCUGUCAAGUUUAUGAAAAUGUUCUAAAAACAAAUAAGCAAGUGUUCAUGCACAAUUGAAAAAUUUCAUAUUCACGUGUCUCCAUUUCACCCACCCCGAACUAUAACUUUUGUUGGUAUAGACAGAGAUGUAUUGAAACUCCUUUUACCAAUUUGAAGAUUAUUUUGGAGAUGUAAACCAAUAUUUUUAAGAAAUCAAGGUAAGAAAAGCAAAAUUUCUAAAUCUACAAUGGAUUAUAUUAAAAGGGAUAGAUUUCAAUAUUUCUUGGUGGGAAUCUUCUACAAGCUAUAGUGCUUAAAGAGAAAAUUCUGGCUUCUAUAUCCAACUAGAUUUUCUUUCAGGAUUCAUUCAACAAACAUUUCUUGGACUCCUUUUAUGUGUCAAGCAUGAUUUCAGGUGAUUUGAGAUAUGUGAGUGAACCAAAUAAGAAAAUACAGAUUCUGUGACCAUUAAGUGUGAGAUGUCAGCUUGACCAGAUUAAGACAUGCCUAGAAGAAUAACAAAGCACAGUUCUGGCCUUUCAGGCAUGAAAUGGAAUGAAGAAAGUUGGCCUAUGACUUUGAAGAGCUCCAGUCUGCUUGAGCCCACAGCCUCUCCACCCUGACCUGGAGGAUUUGAUGACCUUCAGAAUUCAGAGCAUAUUGAUCUACUUCAUAGGCAACAAAUGCUGAAGCCCUGUCUGCUAAUGUGACUUCAGAAGGUUGAAUAUGGAUUUGGAAAGAAUUACCAGCUGCUCACAAAUGUUUUAUAAAUGAUCUGAAACGCAGACACAGAGAAGAAAGACGCUCAGGGUGGAGAAGAAGAAAACUCCCACCCCACAAGCCCGCUGUAAAGAUAAUGCCUAAUUUAUCCAGGAAUAAUCCCUUCAUAUUCUUUAUUGUCAAAUGUGCCAUCACCGUGUAAUUUCAUAUCUGUCACUGUGAGAAAAAGACAGCCAUGUUGUUAUCAUUCCAGCCCUGCAGACAGGAAGCUACAUAAAAAGAUUGUUCAGGUUGAAUAGGUCAAAUACCUGUGGGGAUUGAUAGGACUAAAUAGGAAAUGUGCUGCUGACCUUGUGGAAUUUUCACAAAGGAUCUGCUGGAUCAAAUGGCACUUCUGAGCUCCCCUCCAGAUGGUGACUGUUAUGCUCACCUCUUGAUCUCUUCUGCCACCCACUCUUGGUCCCUGUGGCCGGGACAUCCUGAGUCCAUAAUGACCCCGUGCUGAGCUGUGAAGGACACAACCUGUACCUCUUCAGAAUGUCCACUCACCCUACAGUCAUCCACCAAGGGAGAGAUGCCUUCCAGAUAAGCCAGCCACUUCCCGGCUCCAGCCCUGGGCUGGGCUAAUCUUUCCUUGAUCUUCCGUCACGGUUAUUCACUGUCCUGUGCUCCUGACUCGUACAUCUGCAAAUGAGCAAACAAUGUUCUGGUUGGCUGCACAGAGAUGGAAGAAUACAGUGGACCCUUGAGUUACGACCGGCCUGCCGUAAGACCAGCUUGGGUUGCGACUGGAACUUUAGUUUUAACUUACGACCAAAGUCUUGAGUUACGUCCUGAAUGCUGGCUGCUUGUGCUUCUAGAUGGUCUCAGAUGCAAAUUUAACCCUUGAAGAGUCCUAGAAGGAACAUUACAAGGUCCUUUCCUGUAUGAGGUUAACUGAGGCGUCCUGUGCCAGUGUGUCUCUAAGGAUGUUGAGAUCUGCCUGGAUACAGGACAGAGACUUUGAAGGCUGUGUAGAGGAGCUGAGCCUUCAGUUGACCAACUUGAGUUGAAUAGCCCUUGGGAAGGAGUUGAGUUUGUAAGUCAGGGUCUGCUGUACCUCAAAAUUCCUGGCCCCCGAG
rnacentral:lncRNA from 1 species